CUGCGCAGGCGCCCUGGCCUACGGCAGCCCACGCUCCCAGGGAGUGGGGCACUCCGCCCCACUACACUGCCCAAUGCAGCUCUGACGCCCAGAAGUCUCUGCUGCCUGGCAUCUGUGGGGCCCCGCCCACCUCCCAGGGGCCAGGCCAAUCUCAGCCAGUGGAAGCUCAGAUGGGCCCCACCAGGCAAGUGGGUCCUGAGGGAGCCCAGCUCAGGAAGGCCCUGCUCCCGCUCCGACCGGGUUGAACAUGCCACUCCCCAGGGACCAGAGUGACCCCUGCCUUGGUGCCAGCCACAGCCGCACUGCCAGCUCAGCCUGGCAGACACGGUCACCUUCCAGUGGGGCUGCUCCUGUUGUAAAUACCUGGAUAUCCAGUCUACAGAGUUUCAACAUGGAAUUCAGAAAUCUCUCCUUUUCAGCAGACACACAAGGUGGAUGGAAAGACUGAGAAUGCAAAUGAUAAAUGUAGUGCAUCACCUAAUCUUGUCACGUAAUCAUUCAUCCCAGGAGAAAUACAAAGAACUUAAGUCUG